rnacentral:rRNA from 1 species
AGGACGAACGCUGGCGGCGUGCUUAACACAUGCAAGUCACGGGGGCCCAGCAAUGGGUAACCGGCGAACGGGUGCGUAACACGUGAACAACCUGCCCUCGUGUGGGGGAUAGCCGGGCUAACGCCCGGGUAAUACCGCAUACGUUCCUCGCGAGGAGUCUCGUGGGGGAGGAAAGCUCCGGCGCACGGGGAGGGGUUCGCGGCCUAUCAGCUAGUUGGCGGGGUAAUGGCCCACCAAGGCGACGACGGGUAGCUGGUCUGAGAGGAUGGCCAGCCACAUUGGGACUGAGAGACGGCCCAGACUCCUACGGGAGGCAGCAGUGGGAAUCUUGCGCAAUGGCCGAAAGGCUGACGCAGCGACGCCGCGUGUGGGAGGACGCCGUUUCGGGGUGUAAACCGACUC